GACGAACGCUGGCGGCGUGCUUAACACAUGCAAGUCGAACGAAGAGGCGAACGGGUGAGUAACGCGUAAUCAACCUGCCCUUCAGAGGGGGACAACAGUUGGAAACGACUGCUAAUACCGCAUACUGAAGGAGGGGAUUGCGUCUGAUUAGAUAGUUGGGGGGGUAACGGCCAACCAAGGCGAUGGUCAGUAGCCGGUCUUAGAAGAUGAACGGCCCCAUUGGGACUGAGACAAGGCCCAGACUCCUACGGUAGGCAGCAGUGGGGAAUCUUCCGCAAAUGACUAAAGUCUGACGGAGCAACUCCGCGUGAGUGAUGACGGCCUUCGGGUUGUAAAGCUCUGUUAAUCGGGACGCGGUACCGGAAUAGAAAGCCACGGCUAACUACGUGCCAGCAGCCGCGGUAAUAC
rnacentral:rRNA from 1 species